rnacentral:rRNA from 1 species
UUGGAGGGCAAGUCUGGUGCCAGCAGCCGCGGUAAUUCCAGCUCCAAUAGCGUAUAUUAAAGUUGUUGCAGUUAAAAAGCUCGUAGUUGAAUUUCGGGGUCAGUAGGUUGGUCGUGCCACCGGUACGUACUGGUCUCACUGAUUCCUCCUUCCUGAUGAGCUGUAAUGCCAUUAAUUUGGUGUUGCAGGGAAUCUGGACUGUUACUUUGAAAAAAUUAGAGUGUUUAAAGCAGGCUAACGCUUGAAUACAUUAGCAUGGAAUAAUGAAAUAGGACGUUCGAUCCUAUUUUGUUGGUUUCUAGGAUUGACGUAAUGAUUAAUAGGGAUAGUUGGGGGCAUUAGUAUUCAAUUGUCAGAGGUGAAAUUCUUGGAUUUAUUGAAGACUAACUACUGCGAAAGCAUUUGCCAAGGAUGUUUUCAUUAAUCAAGAACGAAAGUUAGGGGAUCGAAGACGAUCAGAUACCGUCGUAGUCUUAACCAUAAACUAUGCCGACUAGGGAUCGGAUGAUGUUAAUUUUUUAAUGACUCGUUCGGCGCCUUACGGGAAAC